rnacentral:rRNA from 1 species
GUCGUGUCGUGAGAUGUGGUUAAGUCCGCAACGAGCGCAACCCCUAUUGUUAGUUGCCAUCAUUCAGUUGGGCACUCUAGCGAGACUGCCGGUAAUAAACCGGAGGAAGGUGGGGAUGACGUCAAAUCAUCAUGCCCCUUAUGACCUGGGCUACACACGUGCUACAAUGGUUGGUACAACGAGUUGCGAGUCGGUGACGGCGAGCUAAUCUCUUAAAGCCAAUCUCAGUUCGGAUUGUAGGCUGCAACUCGCCUACAUGAAGUCGGAAUCGCUAGUAAUCGCGGAUCAGCACGCCGCGGUGAAUACGUUCCCGGGCCUU